GCUGGGUGUGGUGGCGUGUGCCUGUAAUCCCAGCUACUCCGGAGGCUGAGGCGGGAGAAUAGCUUGAAUCCAGGAGGCAGAGAUUGCAGUGAGCCAAGAUCACGCCACUGCACUCCAGCCUGGGUGACAUAGCAAGACUCUGUCUCAA
rnacentral:SRP_RNA from 1 species